AUGCCUCUGAUAUUACAAAUUAUCAAUGCUUGAAUUUCUUUUUUUUUUAAUCCUUAAAAAGCUACCAACUCAGUAGAAGGCACAUGCUCAGAUUGGUAGAUAGUACUAAACAGAACAAUGAAAUAUAAAAUGUAGGCUAACUCUUCAAAGAACCUAUGAGAAAGAAAUAUAAUUGUAUGUCAUUCUGCAUUAUAUAAUUUAAUUUGAACCAUUUUAAUAGAAAACAGUUUCAAGAGGAAUCUAGGGAGGAAAGAAGUGCCAAUGAGCACUUCUUUCCCUAAGAAGCAAGCCCCUCUGCAAACUGGUGCCAUACAUGGGUGGCUGUGGGGACAGCCUGAUGCCAGCCUUUUCCCAUGAUUCCGCACCAUUUGCAGACUGCAGGGGAAAAGAAUAAGAAGUCAACAAGACGCAAGCUCUCCCUGUGAACCAGCACCAUGUGCAGGCCACCACCACCAAGGGACAGCCAGACCUCAGCAUGCAGGCUGGAAAACAAGAAGAUCCGAGCCCCAAUUCCACUCCCGCCAUAAGCGACCUAUUGAUCCAGAGAAACACAGGCUGUGAUGAUAGCUACUGAGUGGAAAAAAAGCAAUUAUAAAAGAAGAGUUGCAAAAAGAGAAACUGUGAACUUGGGCAGACAAAUGUUACUGAAGAAUACACUGUGACAUUGAAGAAAUAUAGUUAAUAUAAACCAUGGCUGCCUACUUCCUAGAAAGUGUUCAAAUACCCCAAGUUCUGCUGGUUGUAGAUACUGCUUUAAUGAACUGUUCAUUGCAAACUGAAGGUGCUAACUUCUUGGAUCCAAGUCUUCAGACCAUUGGAAAUCCAAACCACACUUUACAAAAUUAAAAUUAAAAUUCUCUCUAAAAUCCUGCAAGUCUGAGUGAGUGAUUAAUGUCACAUUUAAUUAUUCUCAGAAGUCUACACUGCAACUGACUUUCAGAAAAUCCCAGAAAAAAAUACAUGUGUACUACAGCAGUGGUAAAGGAAACUUCCAAGAAAACAGUCCACAACUGCUGGGGAAGAGGAAAGGAUGGACUGAUUUCCAAAAGUCCAGCUGCUAUGGCAAAGAAUUUCAAAAAGACGAGGAAACAAGGACACCAAGAAAAUAGCAUAAUAGUAUAAGCAAGAAAGUAGAGGGCCUCUGGAGUCUCAGAGGGGAAGAUGUUCAAGGCUCUGUUUACCCAAGAAAAAUGAAAAACCAAACACAAGAAUAGCCCACUGGCUUUGUCAUAAAUAAAAUCUUUUCUUACUUUUCCACCAA